AGCGAACGUUAGCGGCGGGCCUAACACAUGCAAGUCGAACGAGAAAGGGGCUUCGGCCCUUAGUAAAGUGGCGAACGGGGGAGUAACACGUGGGCAAUCUGCCCUUCUGUUGGGGAUAACCUUCCGAAAGGAUGGCUAAUACCGAAUCCGUCGCCGAGGACUCCGGUCUUGGGCGGGAAAGCCGGCCACUUCAUGAAAGCUGGCGCAGGAGGAGGAACCCGCGUCCCAUCAGCUAGUUGGUAGGGUAAAAGCCCACCAAGGCGAAGACGGGUAGCUGGUCUGAGAGGAUGAUCAGCCACACUGGGACUGAGACACGGCCCAGACUCCUACGGGAGGCAGCAGUGGGGAAUAUUGGGCAAUGGGCGCAAGCCUGACCCAGCCACGCCGCGUGAGUGAUGAAGGCCUUCGGGUCGUAAGGCUCUGUGGGAGGGGACGAAAGCCCCUUGGCUAAUAUCCAAGGGUUUGACGGUACCCUCUUAGCAAGCACCGGCUAACUCCGUGCCAGCCGCCGCAGUAACAC
rnacentral:rRNA from 1 species